CAAUUAGAGACAUUACACCCUCGUAUAAACUUUUUCCGUAUACAUAUAAGAAAGCUAAGAUACGCCCACUCGCGUAUGGGAUGAGGUAGGCCAACGGCUACGAUGAAAGAAGGGUAAAUCGAUGGCUGUGAUGGGGGAGGCUUAAAAUCAAUUUGAAGCCUGUAACAACGUGUCCACUCCGCACUUUUCUCUUUCAAUCAUACCACCCGUGGCAUCUCCCGUCGCCCUCUCAAUAUUGUCCCACCUGUCACACCCACCCCGUCGCUCGCUCUCUCUCUCUCUCUCUCGCCACCGAAAGGCAGGAAUCAUUUGAGCGAUACUAAGUAGAGUUACCGAAUCUUGAUGAAGUGCGUCGGCUAUUUCUUUCUUGGCUUUUCCACCAUUUCAAUUGGCGGUGGGGACUGUGGAAGGAUAUAUGAACGACAGAGAUUUUCACCAUGAAUGGAGGCCAAGGAGCCGAAGCCCUUGAGGAAGAAGGUAGAGUCCUGGUCCGAGGAGGGAUAGGAGCUCAGUUAGAGAGGGAAGUGCUGAGAGGAGAGCCAAGAUUGAGCAAUGGAACCUAGAGAGAGAGAGAGCAGAAGAGCACUGACAUUGGUAACUCUCUUCAAAAUGGAGAUGAUCAGUAGAAAUGGCAAAACAACCACUAAAUUGGUUUGUCCCUUCUACUCUUGAACUGAAUUUUCUUUUGCUUUCUCUUUUAAUUUUUUUUUACUGAGCUCGAAAGUUUAAUGGUUAUUGUUGCCAACCCUCGUCAGUUUAAAAUCCCAGAUUGGUUCCUUAAUAGAAAGUAGGAUUACAAAUAUGGCAGGUUCUCUCAGGUGGGGUCAAAUGCAUUGGACAUGAAGCUGAGGGAUGAUCUCGAGCGGUUUUGAAGAUCAGUUGUGUGGUGUGCAGGUCCCUCUGUUUUGUGAUAUCAAAUGUGAAUUUUUCCAUUGGGUUUCUGAUUUUUCGUUCAUCAGACCAGUUCUUUUGUUUCUUCCUAUGCUUUGUAUCUUUUGCCCUCACUUUGUGGACACAGGAAUGGAUCUCUGACCACGUUUUUAGGCAAUCCAUGGAAUGCAUGUGUUAGUUGGCUUAUUGAUCAAGGAUGCCUAAUAUUUCUAUUGUCAUGCAUGUGUCUGUAUUGUUUGAGCUGCCCACCAUGUACUAAGCAUUUUAGCCAUAGACUAAACCUUUUUGCUAUGGCCAUACAGAGCUCAUUCACUGUGGACUAACCAUAUUUAUCAUGGCAAUGAGAGCUUAUCUGUUGAAUUUCGCCUUGUUCCUUAAGAAUCAGGGUUUUGUUGGAGUUUUUCCCAUGGCCAUAAGAACUGGUCGAAUCUGGCCUCGUCCCCAAAAACAUUUAGGGCUUUGGAUGAGUUUUCUCCAUUGCCUUUGAUGUUUCAUCUUCCCAGUUACAUGGGGACAUUUGCAUAGAAGAACUCGGGUAACUCUGCACUUUCACUGGGCAUCACUACAUGUCUGGUUUUUGUGAAUUUUGAAAAUCUUUUGUGCUUAUGCUUUUCCAUUGAGUUUUUGCAAGUUCACGUAUCGCUGAUCCUAAGGAUCAAUUAUUUUUAUGCAGCUUUAUAUGCAAUUUUUUUACAGGUUGGGUGCAUUGGCCAUGCAUAUAAGGCCGAAUGCAGAAGAGAGGUCGUAAAAUGAACCCCGGCAGUUGGCGGUCUUUUAAUUAGGUAUGCAAUAAUCUUAUAGUACAAAUUUCCCCAAAAAGGGUAUCAUCUUAUGCUGCAGGUUUGGUGUAGCAAGAAGAGACUUCAAAAUCAUGGUUACUGUGUUUUUCUCAGAUUUGUAAUAUGAGCUUUCAUUUUGCAAGUUUGUAGUUACACAUGAGCUUCAUAUAAGAGUGGUUGAGUGGCUUGUAUAUCUCUUUAGAAAGGUACUUCUGUUGAAUGGAAAUGGUGCAAGCUUUCUUUAA